UACAGAGACUGUAAGCGUUAUUCGGAUUCACUGGGCGUAAAGGGUGCGCAGGCGGUUGGGUGUGUCAGAUGUGAAAUCCCGAGGCUCAACCUCGGAACUGCGUCUGAAACUACUCGACUAGAGUACUGGAGAGGGUAACGGAAUUCACGGUGUAGCAGUGAAAUGCGUAGAUAUCGUGAGGAACACCAGAGGCGAAGGCGGUUACCUGGACAGUUACUGACGCUCAGGCACGAAAGCAUGGGGGAGCAAAAGGG
rnacentral:rRNA from 1 species